rnacentral:rRNA from 1 species
UACGAAGGGUGCAAACGUUGCUCGGAAUCAUUGGGCGUAAAGCGCACGUAGGCGGCUUCGCAAGUCGGAUGUGAAAUCCCGUGGCUCAACCAUGGACGUGCAUCCGAAACUGCGAGGCUUGAGUAUGGAAGAGGGUCGCGGAAUUCCCGGUGUAGAGGUGAAAUUCGUAGAUAUCUGGAGGAACACCGGUGGCGAAGGCGGCAUCCUGGACCGGCAUUGACGCUGAGGCGCGAAAGCUAGGGGAGCAAACGGG